CACGUAGGCACCAAGCGUUGUCCGGAUUUAUUGGGCGUAAAGAGCUCGUAGGCGGUUCAGUAAGUCGGGUGUGAAAACUCUGGGCUUAACCCAGAGCCGCCACUCGAUACUGCUGUGACUUGAGUUCGGUAGGGGAGCAGGGAAUUCCUAGUGUAGCGGUGAAAUGCGCAGAUAUUAGGAGGAACACCGGUGGCGAAGGCGCUGCUCUGGGCCGAUACUGACGCUGAGGAGCGAAAGCUAGGGGAGCAAACAGG
rnacentral:rRNA from 1 species